CGGAGUAUAGUAUAACGGUAGUACGCGUCCAUGGGGUGGAUGUAGCCUGGGUUCAAUUCCCAGUACUCCGAC
rnacentral:tRNA from 1 species